rnacentral:rRNA from 1 species
UACGUAGGGUGCAGGCGUUAAUCGGAAUUACUGGGCGUAAAGCGUGCGCAGGCGGUUUGCUAAGACAGGUGUGAAAUCCCCGGGCUUAACCUGGGAAUGGCGAUGGUGACUGCAAGGCUAGAGUUUGGCAGAGGGGGGUAGAAUUCCACGUGUAGCAGUGAAAUGCGUAGAUAUGUGGAGGAACACCGAUGGCGAAGGCAGCCCCCUGGGUCAAAACUGACGCUCAUGCACGAAAGCGUGGGGAGCAAACAGG